rnacentral:rRNA from 1 species
AACGAACGCUGGCGGCAGGCUUAACACAUGCAAGUCGAGCGCUGUAGCAAUACAGAGCGGCGCACGGGUGAGUAACACGUGGGAACAUGCCUUUCGGUUCGGAAUAACUCAGGGGAAACUUGUGCUAAUACCGGAUACGCCCUUACGGGGAAAGAUUUAUUGCCGAAAGAGUGGCCCGCGUUGGAUUAGCUAGUUGGUAAGGUAAAGGCUUACCAAGGCGACGAUCUGUAGCCGGCCNGAGAGGGCGGUCGGCCACACUGACACUGACAUAC